rnacentral:rRNA from 1 species
UACGUAGGGGGCUAGCGUUGUCCGGAAUCAUUGGGCGUAAAGCGCGUGUAGGCGGCCCGGUAAGUCCGCUGUGAAAGUCGGGGGGCUCAACCCUCGGAUGCCGGUGGAUACUGUCGGGCUUGAGUACGGAAGAGGCGAGUGGAAUUCCUGGUGUAGCGGUGAAAUGCGCAGAUAUCAGGAGGAACACCGAUUGCGAAGGCAGCUCGCUGGGACGUUACUGAGCUGAGACGCGAAAGCGUGGGGAGCAAACAGG